GCUAUGGGAGCUUGAGGGCUUUUAAACUAUAAGUAGGCUUCUUAGCUUAAUCACUGACUCCAGUGAUUUGGUGGGUUCCUGAAGUCAUUCUAGUCCUGUGUUGUUGCAGUCCCAGGUUGUUUCCUUUGGUUUUUCUAGUUGACCCGAGAGAGGAGAGGAGAGAAACACAGCUGCUGCUGCUCUGUAGCCCUGCCUCUGGAAAUUUAUUAUAUACUUCCUAUUAAGGUCUUUUUUUUUUUUUGUAUUCUAAUUCUUUUUUUUUCUUGAAUUUCUUUAUUGGGGGAUUAAUAUUUUAAUUCAUCAGUAAAUACAAUAGUUUGUACAUAACAUUUCUCAGUUUUCCACAUAACAAUACAACCCCCACUAGGUUCUCUGUCAUCCUUUUUGGACCUGUACUCUCCCUCCACCCACCCCAAAGUCUUCUACUUUGCUGCAAUACACCAACCAAUACUUUUUUUAUCCAUUGGAUGUUUGUUCAUAUAAUGACUGUAAUAUCUUUCAUUCAGAGGAUUACCUUUCCUUAAAUAUUUUCUGGAAUUGCAUGCUCAUUUGAAAUAUGAACUCCUGUGUUGAUCUGUCUCUGCUAUAUCUGAUUACUUGGUCUAUUUCCAGGAUUCCAGGCAGAGACUGAGGUUAUGACCUCCUGGGUGAAAGAGACUCUCCCUUCCCUGUGGCUAUGAAGUUUGAAAGACCGAGAAGGAGAGAAACAGAGACAAGAGAGAUGCCACAGUACUGCUGCACUGCUGAUGCCACUGCAAGGUUAGUACAGAACCAGAGACUCUCCUCAUCAUCUCUGACCACCAGGCUCCAGAUGCUAGCAUGAUGCCAACCAGACUUCCCUGGACAGAUGACCCCACCAAUACGUCCUGGAGCUCUGCUUCCCCAGAGCCCCACCCCACUAGGGAAAGAGAGAAGCAGGCUGGGAGUAUGGAUUGACCAGUCAACACCCAUGUUCAGCGGGGAAGCAAUUACAGAAGCCAGACCUUCCACCUUCUGCAUCCCACAAUGACCUUGGGUCCAUACUCCCAGAGGGAUAAAGAACA